ensembl:lncRNA
UGGAUCACUUGAGGUGAGCACCGAAUCGGUCGUGGAAGCACAGGUGAAGGCAAUUCAGCUGUGUGACCGGAAGGGGCGGAGCCUGGCUCCGCCUCUCCUAAACCUCCCAUUUAAGGGCUGACUGCCACUGGGGAAGCAUCCCUUUCUGGAGAUCACUCCCUUUGGAGUUUUUCUGCGAGUCUAGGACAUGUUAGUAGGCACGUGAGAUGUUCUUCAGCUUGGAGUGAAUGAAGCGUGUGAAUGCGUCUGCAGCCCGUGGGACCACAGCGGAAGAUGCAGACCAGGGCUUGUCUCAGAGGGUAUGGACUACAAGAAGAUCCCCCAGAAGACACAGAAUGGGAAGCAGCACCCACCACCACCCUUGGGAGCUCCGGUCACCCCGAGCUGGGAGGACAAGGCUAUUGGCAACUUCCAUCUUAUGUGAAAAUAAAGGGCCCAGAGCUUUGAGCCCUCAUGCUUUGCUCCAGAAGUCCACGGAUACCAUGUCACAGAGGACAAGGGCAUCUGGGUAAGCUGGAAGCGGCACGACCUCUCCCUCUCUUUGUCGCAAUUCGGGAAGGAAACGUUUCUGCACAAACGUGAAGAAAUACAGCAGACUUGCCUUAUUUCGGACCACAGGAGGGCGACGUUCAGCUGCAGCUGAAACAAACAGGACUUCCCAAAACAGGUUGCCCAAGGAGAUAGCGGAUGCCCCAGUCCUGGAGGUGUUCAAGGCCAGGAUGGAAGGGGGAGCCUGGUCAUCGGUCACCUUGCACGCAGCUUGAACUUAGAUGAUGAUACCCAGGCCAUUCUACGAUUCUAUCACGGAUUCUAUAUAAAGUAGGUAAGAAAAACAGCAUAGAAGAUGCUGUCUGUUAGCAAUUUGCACAGAAGGAUGCUGAUAGCAUAGCAAUGUUGUUAGUAAAAAAAAAAUAAAAAUCGAGAGGGAUAAAUCAGACAAAGGCUUUUACUAAAAGCUGUGUAUCAUACGGGAUAGAUAAAUGAAGAGUGCAGGUAUUGUGCCUGGGCUGCACGGAUCCUAGUAAAUAACAUCGUUAAGAGAUCUUAGGUCAGUUGUUGUGCAGUAUCACGGAGGGAAAAUAACAAUGACUAAGACUGAAAUAGGAGAAAAGACCUGUAAUGCAAUUAAAUUUUCUUAUGAGCAAAUGCCAGUAGUUGGACACACCUUUACUCAAAAAUUAAAAAGGGG